rnacentral:rRNA from 1 species
CGGGGGGGGGGCAAGCGUUGUUCGGAAUUACUGGGCGUAAAGGGCGCGCAGGCGGCCUGGCAAGUCCUACGUGAAAUCCCACAGCUCAACUGUGGAACUGCGUGGGAUACUGCCCAGGCUUGAGUCCGGGAGAGGAGAGUGGAAUUCCCAGUGUAGCGGUGAAAUGCGUAGAUAUUGGGAGGAACACCGGUGGCGAAGGCGGCUCUCUGGACCGGUACUGACGCUGAGGCGCGAAAGCUAGGGGAGCAAACGGGAUUAGAUACCCCGGUAGUCCUAGCCGUAAACUUUGAGCACUUUGUGUGGCGGGUAUCGACCCCUGCCGUGCAGAAGCUAACGCAUUAAGUGCUCCGCCUGGGGAGUACGGUCGCAAAGGCUG